UACGGAGGGUGCAAGCGUUAUCCGGAUUUACUGGGUUUAAAGGGUGUGUAGGCGGGUCUUUAAGUCCGUGGUGAAAUCUCCGAGCUUAACUUGGAAACUGCCAUUGAUACUAUUGAUCUUGAAUUUUGUUGAGGUAGGCGGAAUAAGUCAUGUAGCGGUGAAAUGCAUAGAUAUGACUUAGAACACCAAUUGCGAAGGCAGCUUGCUAAACAAAUAUUGACGCUGAGGCACGAAAGCGUGGGGAUCAAACAGG
rnacentral:rRNA from 1 species